UCGAAUUGGUACGUGUUCUAAAAAAAUGACACUAGCUAUGUAUUUCCUAAGUUGGCGGCUUGCCAUGACAACGUAUUCGCUUGUAGUCGCUUCUUAGGCACAACGUAAUUGGCACAGUAGCCAAUAACCUUCGGUGUAUCAUUUAGACAAGAAGACAUCAAUUUAUAAUAAGGAAUAUUUCAAAUAUGGCGGCGAGAGAUUUUCUUCUGCGCUGCAAGUAUGCUGAGUGCAGCGGUCUCGCUGAGAAUUCAUGUGCUCCUGAAAAGAGCUGCACUGGAGACAAAAACCCUUUUUGUUUAUCCAGCAGCACUGAGCCUCACGUGAGCCUGCCUGAAGCUAUGCCAAAAAUGAUUUGCUCAGUGGAAAGAAUGUGCUGUAUAGCCAUGAAACUUGGCAAGAAGCAACAGCAGACCAUGGGAAAGAUGAUGGAGUGGGUAACUAAAUUCAGUAGCACUGGCAAACAUAACGCCAGAAUUUUAUAAAAGUACCAUAUGUAACACUUUACCCAGGGUGCGUGAACUGGUCCAUGUUAUGAGAUCUUUAGUAAUCAUGUAGGUUUCCUUCCUUUGGUGUUAAAGAGUCCCAUACUUGUGUAAGAGCAUGUUCAGUGGUAAGGGACAAUAAAGAGUCUUAUCAAAUGUUUUUAUCAAGACAUUUUAUUGGCAUGUAUAACAAAAAAAUCAUGAAAAAAAAUGCAAAGUAGUAAAAUAAAAGUAAACCUGACUAAAUUAGUAAUAACCUUUCAAAGAAUACAACACAAUGUAAAUCAUGUUCAAGUGACAAAAACUAAAUUUAAAAAAAAACAAUGUAAGUAACAAAGAUUUACUGCCAGCUUCAUGCUGUGCUCAAUGUGGUGAAAAAACUACCGCUACGCCGGCUAAUGUGGUUCUAGGCGUUAAAACACUGAAGGCGUUCUUUGUUUAAUAUCCUUGCUUUUACAUUAUACUUUAAGGCACUGAUUCUGCAGUAAUGGGUAGGGUGGUCAAAAACAAAACUGUAAAAUAGUGAAUGUCAUGUAGUUGACAUUGAGGCUAAUGUCCAUUGAUAUUAGUUCUUGUAAAACAGGUAUAUCGUAGUUGCUGGGUCCAGAGUAAUGAAAUACCUGGAAUAGUACAGUAAUACCAGAUAACGAAUCACACAUCAGGUUUUGUUUCCAACUUGAGCAGUUUGUUUUCAAGGUGAGAUUUGUUUAAAAUGUGCCAAACUCUACCCUUGUGUUGUUACAAGCUUCCGUUUUUUUAUAAUAGCAAUGCAUACUUGCUUUUACUUCCGCUAAAUCAGAGCCGCAUAAAGUUUUGAACAUUCUUUUAACUGCAGUUACAGACAACAGGUCAGCAAAUAGCACCAUCAAAAAUCUAUUUUAACACACUAUCGUAGACACCUCAUAUGCUGAAAACUGCCUACCUCUGACAUGCCUCAAAGAACAAGAAAAAGACUAAAACAGAAAAUACAACACUCUGUUAUGCCUGCUAGGUGAUUUAUAAAUGAACACCAUAUAACACUAACUUAGAAUCAAACCAAAGAAUGGGGCUUGUUAACUAAAAGUGUGUACAUAAUUGAAAUAAAGCAAGACAACGCCCACCACGGGUAAAAACGUGCUUUUUCUGUAUUUCUUUAGAUUGCCCUCCAAGAUACAAUCAAAUUUAAAUAAAAAAAAGACUAAAGCUAUAUAAAAAAGGUUCUCAAAAUGCAACAUACAAAUAAAAAUAUAGCACCUUUGUGAAAUGUCAAAUGAGAGCCAUAUAUGUUGGGAAAGACUUUUGUUGGUGACACUUCCAAUAAUUCUUUGCAGGAACUGCUAUUAAAACCAUGAUCAUAACUGUAUACAGUACGGUACUUAUAACAUUAGUAAUAACCUUUAAAGAAUAUAACAUGAUGUAAAUCUUGUUCAAGUGACAGAAGCAAAAUGUAAAAAAAAACCCAAUGUAAUACACUGAUGAUUGUGCUUUACAUAAAACACACGUUGACUACUACCCCAUUUAUAUAUUUGUAACAUAUACAUUAAUAUAUUUCUGCAUAUACAUUUGUUAGAUGCUGGAUAUAUAACCCUGUCUCCCUUAUGAAACGCCCACUUAAAAUAAAGCACAUUUUCAUGUAUACUAUUUGUAAUAUUAUAUGGACCUAUAAUGACAUAUACCAAACCUGUGCCUGUUUCAAAUGAGCAUUACAGAAAACAAGUUUAAAAAUGUGUGGGGAAAAAAAAAAUCAGCUCAUUCUGGUAUUCUUAACCACACCAAAAGCUUAGUCACAAGAC